UCACACUUGUCACUCGUGAUCCAAUAGCCGGAGCCGGCGAAUUCCGUCGCCAUUGUCCUUCCAGUCGCGUAGACGGUACGCGCACGGCAGAGAAAUCGCACGGGACUGUCAGAACUCGGGGUGGACAGUAUCACGAAGAAAGUGAUAAGAAAAAGAACGAUUUCUCGGAGUGACCACCGCGGAUGUGGCGGAAGUAUUAAUUGCACGAUCGCUAUUUAUUUGCUCCCACCUCCCUGCCCGCCUGUAUCUCAUCGGGGAAAAUUGCCAUGGCGGUCAGAGUGUGCGUGCACUUUAUUAUGCAGCUCGUCAUCGUCGCAUCUGCAUCUAAUUUCAUUGCCGACGUCAGCCUGGACGAUCGCGAGGAGUGGGUCGUCAGGAUACAAGGGGGAUCACAAGUAUCGUCGCUAUUAGCCGCUCAGUCCGGCUACAAGCACCACGGUCCGGUUCUUGGAUUCAAGGACACAUAUAUAUGGCUUAAGGAUGAUAAUCCGAGCCAGAAGAAAAGAGGAAAUAUUCGCUUAACGAAGGCUCUUAAUGCAAACUCUAAGAUUAUCUGGGCGGAUCAACAGAAAACCGUAAAACGACUUAAACGCGAUUACAUCUCGUUAGCCGAUUUGGAAUCUGAAAAACCUUUAAUGCGAGAAAAACGUCUACAAUUAAACUUAUACGGAGAUGCAUUAAAUACCAUUAGCAACGAAAAUCAUAAUGCUGUCCAUAAAUUACGGAUAUUCAAUGACGAACUUUGGAAUCAACAAUGGUAUCUGCAAGACACAAGGACGAAUAAAGCUUUGCCGAAGCUCGACUUAAACGUUCUGCCUCUCUAUCGACUGGGGAUAACUGGUCGUGGAGUAAGAAUUGCUGUUCUCGACGAUGGUUUAGAAUACACACAUGAUGAUCUACGGAACAAUUAUGAUGCGGCUAUUAGUUAUGACAUAAAUGAAGGCGACGAUGAUCCUUUUCCAAGAUACGAUAAAUCAGGGAUGAACGGUCACGGCACCAGGUGUGCCGGCGAGAUAGGAAUGGAGGCCAACAACCAAAAGUGUGGCGUCGGUGUCGCCUUCGAGGCAUCCAUCGGGGGCAUCAAGCUCCUCGAUGGUCUGGUGAAUGACCGCGUGGAAGGCGAAGCUCUAGGAUAUAGAUCCGAGCUUAUUGACAUCUACACGGCUUCCUGGGGACCAGCGGAUGAUGGAAAAAGUUUGGAGGCACCUGGGAGGCUUGCUCUCGAAGCACUCGAACGUGGCAUAACAGAGGGUCGUAAAGGCAAAGGUAACAUAUAUGUAUGGGCUUCUGGGAAUGGUGGCUCUAAAUCGGAUGACUGCGGAUGUGACGGGUACGUUGGAAGUAUAUACACAGUGGCUGUCGGAUCAGCCAGCCAAACCGGAAGAUUUCCUUGGUAUGGGGAAAGAUGUCCUGCUACUCUUGCCACGACGUACAGCAGCGGCGCGUAUAACGAUCAAAUGAUAGCAACAACGGAUCUACGAAACACCUGCACAACUAGGCACACGGGUACUUCAGCUUCUGCCCCAUUAGCCGCCGGAAUAUUGGCUCUCGCGCUGCAAGUAAACAACGACUUGACGUGGAGGGACAUUCAGCAUCUGAUAACUUGGUCAUCAGAAUACAAUCCUCUCAGCGAAAAUCCGGGCUGGUUUAAGAACGCGGCUGGAUUUUGGUUUAAUUCACGCUUCGGUUUCGGACUUAUGAACGCAUACGCGCUCGUAAAGGCGAGCUACAACUGGACGACAGUGCCGGAGAAGACUAUUUGCAAAGUGGAUAACGCAUACAUUGCCAAUAACAGACUGAUUUAUGGAAAUUCCAAGAAACUGCAAUUCGAUGCCGGUAAUGUUUGUCGGACAUCGGGGAGCGAGAUAAUAUUUUUGGAGCAUGUGGAAGUCGAGGUGAAUCUCGAGUACUCUCGUCGCGGUGCGCUGCAGAUGCGUUUGGCUGCGCCUUCAGAAGAAAAAAGAACGAAAAGCUGAAGAAAUAACUCAGAAUGGUUGCAGAAUCGGUCGUCUUAUGUUCCUAAAUAGGAAAUUUGAGAGACUUCUAAAAAUACCAUGGACUACCGUUAAUAUUCUAAGUCCAAGGAAGCUAGAUAAUUCUAACGUUUUUAUAAAGUGGAAAUUCAUGUCCGUUGCGACGUGGG
rnacentral:misc_RNA from 1 species